rnacentral:rRNA from 1 species
GUACACACCGCCCGUCACACCAUGGGAGUUGGCUUGACCCGAAGSCGGYGCGCUAACCUUCGGGAGGCAGCCGACCACGGUCAGGUCAGYGACUGGGGURAAGUCGUAACAAGGUAGCCGUAGGUGAACCUGCAGAAGGAUCA